ACUGCGGAGGACAUUAAUGAACAAGAUCGGCGGAACAAGAUAGAGAGACUGUGCUGGCCGUUCAAAUAAGACGGCAUGUGCACGUCCCCUCGUCUUUCUUCGUCUGUCAUAUACCCACACCUGUGCACCAAUCGUAGAUCUUUCAACGUUAAUGUUGACGGAAGUCCUUCAUCUCGUCCGACGAGUUAGCUUAGUUACUAGGCAGUCUUUCAAAAGAGGGGCUGGCGAAAGCAAGCUAAAGGAUCAAAGUUGAUGUCGAUGUUUGCAGUAAAUCCUUGAUCUGAUCAAGCUUAGUUACUAGGCAGUCUUUGAAAAGAGGCUGGCGAAAGCAAGCAAGAAAGGACGGGAUCGAUGUCGAUGUCGAUGUUAAUGGUAAGUCCUUGAUCUCGUCAAGCUUAGUUACUAGGCAGUCUUUUGAAAAAGAGGCUGGCGAAAGCAAGCAGGAAAAGAAAAGGAUGAAAGUUGAUGUUGAUGUAGAGGAUGGAAUCAAUGUCGAUGUCGACGGAAGUCCUUGAUCUUAGCUUAGUUACUAGGCAGUCUUUUGAAAGAGAGGCUGGCGAAAGCAAGCUAGAGGAUGAAAGUCAAUGUCGAUGUCGAUGAUAUCAAUGGAUCUAUGUUUUAAUCAUCACACACUGUUGUAUGGCCAGAAUGUUUAUAAAUAAAAAAUAAAAUACAACUUUCAGCAAUGGAUCUCUUGGUUCUCGCAUCGAUGAAGAACGCAGCGAAUUGCGAUAAGUAAUGUGAAUUGCAGAUUUCCAGUGAAUCAUCGAAUCUUUGAACGCAUCUUGCGCUCCUUGGUAUUCCGAGGAGCAUGCCUGUUUGAGUGUCAUUUAAUUAUCAACCAUCAUUCUUUAGGGAAUGAUGGCUUGGAGUUGGGGGUUGCUGGCGACGACCUGGUCGUCGGCUCUCCUUAAAUGCAUUAGCGAUCGAGUUGGGCUAUCAAGUCUUUCGACAUGCACAGCCAUUGACGUGAUAAUGAUCGUCGUGGCUGGAGUGUCUUUCCUAGACUAUGCUACAUAGAUUGCUUCCAACGGAAAAGAUCCUUGAUCUUUGUCAAGCUUAGCUACUAGGCAGUCUUUGAAAAGAGAAGAGGCUGGCGAACACAAGCAAGAGAAAGGGAUAGGAUCAAAGUCGAUGUUGAUUUAAAUCCUUGAUCGACUUAGUUACUAGGCAGUCUUUUGAAAAGAAGGCUGGCGAAAGCAAGCAAGAGGAUCAAAGUUAACGUUGAUGUUGACAGUAAAUUCUUGAUCUGAUCAAGCUUUAGUUACUAGGCAGUCUUUGAAAAGAGGCUGGCGAAAGCAAGCAAGAGAAGGACAGGAUGAAAGUCGAUGUUGAUGUUAAUACUCAAGCUUAGUUACUAGACAGUGAAGGCUGGCGAACACAAGCUUGUAAAGGAUGGAAGUCGACGUUGACGAAAUGUAAUGACUGACCUCAAAUCA
rnacentral:rRNA from 1 species